rnacentral:rRNA from 1 species
UACGUAGGGCGCAAGCGUUGUCCGGAAUUAUUGGGCGUAAAGAGCUCGUAGGCGGUUUGUCGCGUCGGAUGUGAAAGCCCGGGGCUUGACCCCGGGUCUGCAUUCGAUACGGGCAGACUGGAGUGUGGUAGGGGAGAUCGGAAUUCCGUGGUGUAGCGGUGAAAUGCGCAGAUAUCAGGAGGAACACCGGUGGCGAAGGCGGAUCUCUGGGCCAUUACUGACGCUGAGGAGCGAAAGCGUGGGGAGCGAACAGG